GUUGUGAAUGUAGUAAAUAAGAGUGCCAUUCAUAAAAUAUAAUAAUAAUGUAGUAACUAUUUGUUCAUUUUGUUUUAUUGGCUAUUUGUGCUGUAUUCAAACUUAUUGGACACGGUGUAUAUUUCGAAUAUGAAAAAUGUCCGCAAUGUACCUACGAACUUCGGUUUUCGUGAUACAGUGUAGUGCGAAAAGAUUUGCCUUCGUAUUGUUACGGAAACUUAAGAACGUGUCAUGCAAUUUCAGUCAGUCUCAGUACAAGAAGUAGAUACUGACAGUGACUGAAUUAGCAUGACAAAUACAAACGUUUCCGGAAAAAUCUGAAGCAUUAAACAUUUUGCAAAAUGUACGAAAGAAACCCUUUUCGCAUUACGUCUGUGUGCCUUCUGAUUUGUCAAAUGGCGAGUUUUAACAGUCAGAAUUUUUGGAGACGUUAAGUAGCCCUUACCUGGGCUUCUUGUUUCGGGAUGUUUCUUAGACUCUUAUACCUUACCUAAUAUUAAUAAAUAUUUGAUGAUAGUAAUAUAGAAUCUGCCUUCAACAUAGUGCCUGUACACCAAACGGUAGAGAGACGUAUUGGUAUAUCGACCACGAAUAAUCAGUUUUUACGAUGUGUUGAGAUAUAAGAACAUGCUGUGACAAUUCUGUUUUUUUUUCAGUUAAUGAUUUGUAAUGGUUGGACUGGUCUCAUGGUAACCAGUUGCAACUCUCUGGGGGGUGAUUUUUGAAUCUCGCAUACGGGAUUUUGUCACUAAAAUACCGGUUGAAAACGGCAACUUGCUUAUUAUUUUCAGUGUCAAUUUUCUUAAUUCGAACGCGUGAGACUCAAAAAUCGGCCCGCUGCAGGUCACUAAUUAUGUCACGCAUUUAAAUUCACCUAUUCCAUGACUGACUACUUUGCUGUGACUACGAGUAAAUUCAUCAUACAGUAGAUUAGAUGGCAACGAUAAUCUUAACUUUGGACACCUUAGGAAAGGAACUAAUGGUCCAAUACGCUAGUGGUGUUAGUUUAUCUGUUGAUGACACUCAUGAAAUUUAUAACAGCACUGGAGGUUGUUCAUAUAACUUUUGAGGCAAUUACUUUGAAGCUAGGCAUAUUAUAUUUUGUCGCCUAGUCAAAUGCAUCCCGGUUUUUAUUUAAGCUUUGUCCCAUUAUGCAGUAUACAAGUGCUUUGUCUCAUCCGAGUAUUUAGCAUGAGAGUAGUCAUACAUAUCUCUUACAUAAAAGGUAUUUUCAAAACAGAGAAAAGUGACAUAUAUUAAAUCACCCUCAAACUUAUUUUUUUAUACGUGCAAUCUCCAGUACUAUUAUAAAUUUCUUGAUAACACUAGAACUGAGAAUAAAAAACUUUGCUAUGUCUAAGUAAUAAAAUAAUAUCAGUAUCAAUUAUUUACUUGUAACGAUUUGUAUUAUAUUAUAAUUAUUCAUUGUACGGGGUCUUGUUAUGCGAAAUGGCAAAUGACAGUGACGUCCUAUUACAUAGUACAUUUCGCUACAAGUGCGGAAAAGAGCGCAUACUAUAAAGACGGCCAAUCCAUACACCUACUCUAGAUGAAGCUACUUGGUCGACUGUUAAGUUUAAAAAACUUUUCAAAAACGCAAUUGUGGAUAGAAAAUAAUAUUGCCCAAUAGAUCAAUCGGCAUACGUUUUCGUGUUUACUGCUCUGAAUUUUUAAUAUAAUAAUGUAAUAUGGCCUUAUACUGAUGUCCGUCCGAGGUUUACAAAUUGAAAAAGACACAGAAUCAAACAGUUUUAGCAUACCUACACGAUACGGUAACGUUUUAACUUGAUAAAAUGAACUUUAUAAUUUUUUAUUAAAUAUUAUGUCGUAUGACGUCACUGUCUAUGUAUGAAUUCUGGCAGUCUGAAAGCAUGUUAGACGUAGAUGCAGUUUGUGUAGUACACUAGCGAUUAUCGCCUUUAAGAUCCUCUUCAAUUCCUAAUUUUUGGCAUAAUUAUGUUCUUGGUUCAGUCAGUCUCCUGAACAUUAGUUCUGAACAAUACUUUCGUCAGAUGAGAUUGCAUAGUUAUUUUUUGCAGAGGUCUGCACGCGGAGACUUGGUGCUAAGGGUGCGAUUACAUUCCGUAAACUGCUACUGCAUUGAACAUUAAUAUCCAUUCUAAUAGAGCUAACACACCAUGACACGACUCAGCCGAGCUAAUUUCCUUCCAUACCUACGUGAGAGCGAGAAAAAUAUAUCUUAUUCACGCUCUCACGUACAACGUACUACACGUUGGCUCAGCUCGCUCGUGUGUUACCACUAUGAGAAUGGCGUUACGUAACAGUUGAAUGCGGCAGCGAAGCUAGUGUAAACGCACCCUAAUCAAAAAAGUCUCAAACUACGGUGAUAAACGCUGGUGAACCAGACCUACUGUCAGAUUAUUAUUACUAAUUACGUAGAGAGUAAUUUACCAUUGUAUAAAACAUUUAAUUUCAUUACGAACAAAGUUUGGUAGAAUAAAGUAUGUAAGGAUAUAAUAUAUAUUUCGUUAAAUUGAUGUAAGUUAUUUUUAAUGUUAGAUUAAUAAAAGGUUGAGAUGAA